rnacentral:rRNA from 1 species
GUUAGGAAUAUUGGACAAUGGGCGAAAGCCUGAUCCAGCCAUGCCGCGUGAACGAUGAAGGCCUUCGGGUUGUAAAGUUCUUUAGCCGAUGAUUAUAAUGACUGUAGUCGGAAAAUAAGCCCCGGCUAACUUCGUGCCAGCAGCCGCGGUAAUACGAAGGGGGCGAGCGUUAUUCGGAAUCACUGGGCGUAAAGCGUGCGUAGGCGGUUUUGUAAGUUAGGAGUGAAAGCCCAGGGCUCAACCUUGGAAUUGCUCUUAAAACUGCAAGGCUCGAAUCUCGGAGAGGAUAUCGGAAUUUCCAGUGUAGCAGUGAAAUGCGUAGAUAUUGGAAGGAACACCAGUGGCGUAAGCGGCUAUCUGGACGAGUAUUGACGCUGAGGCACGAAAGCGUGGGGAUCAAACAGGAUUAGAAACCCGGGUAGUCC